rnacentral:rRNA from 1 species
UUCCCGCCGGCGACCGGCGCACGGGUGAGUAACACGUAUGCAACCUGCCCCUGUCAGGGGGACAACCCGCCGAAAGGCGGGCUAAACCCGCGUACAUGCCACCGGGGCAUCCCGGAGGCAGGAAAGGCUUCGGCCGGACAGGGAUGGGCAUGCGGCGCAUUAGGCAGUAGGCGGGGUAACGGCCCACCUAACCGACGAUGCGUAGGGGUUCUGAGAGGAAGGUCCCCCACACUGGUACUGAGACACGGACCAGACUCCUACGGAAGGCAGCAG